rnacentral:rRNA from 1 species
CGUGGAUUGAUUUGUCUGGUUUAUUCCGAUAACGAGCGAGACUUUGACUAUUAAAUAGUGCUUCUGUUAUUUUGCAGUUGUUCACUUCUUAAAAGAAUUUGGGGUUUCCAACCUCAAGAGAUUGAGCAAUAACAGGUCUGUGAUGCCCUUAGAUGUUCGGGGCCGCACGCGUGCUACAAUGAUGGUAACAGCGUGAUUGUCCGGUUUCGUAAGGAAUUGGCAAACAGUUGAGAUAUUAUUAUGGCUGGAAUUGAGAUUUGAAAUUAUUUCUCAUGAACGAGGAAUUCCAAGUAAAUGUGAGUCAUCAACUCGCAUUGAAUACGUCCCUGCCCUUUGUAC